AUACAUGCAAGUAGAACGCUGAAGAGAGGAGCUUGCUCUUCUUGGAUGAGUUGCGAACGGGUGAGUAACGCGUAGGUAACCUGCCUUGUAGCGGGGGAUAACUAUUGGAAACGAUAGCUAAUACCGCAUAACAAUGGAUGACACAUGUCAUUUAUUUGAAAGGGGCAAUUGCUCCACUACAAGAUGGACCUGCGUUGUAUUAGCUAGUAGGUGAGGUAAUGGCUCACCUAGGCGACGAUACAUAGCCGACCUGAGAGGGUGAUCGGCCACACUGGGACUGAGACACGGCCCAGACUCCUACGGGAGGCAGCAGUAGGGAAUCUUCGGCAAUGGGGGCAACCCUGACCGAGCAACGCCGCGUGAGUGAAGAAGGUUUUCGGAUCGUAAAGCUCUGUUGUAAGUCAAGAACGGGUGUGAGAGUGGAAAGUUCACACUGUGACGGUAGCUUACCAGAAAGGGACGGCUAACUACGUGCCAGCAGCCGCGGUAAUACGUAGGUCCCGAGCGUUGUCCGGAUUUAUUGGGCGUAAAGCGAGCGCAGGCGGUUUGAUAAGUCUGAAGUUAAAGGCUGUGGCUCAACCAUAGUUCGCUUUGGAAACUGUCAAACUUGAGUGCAGAAGGUGAGAGUGGAAUUCCAUGUGUAGCGGUGAAAUGCGUAGAUAUAUGGGAGGACACCGGUGGCGAAAGCGGCUCUCUGGUCUGUAACUGACGCUGAGGCUCGAAAGCGUGGGGAGCGAACAGGAUAAAUACCCUGGUAGUCCACGCCGUAAACGAUGA
rnacentral:rRNA from 1 species